rnacentral:rRNA from 1 species
CCUACGGGUGGCAGCAGUCGAGAAUCAUUCACAAUGGGGGAAACCCUGAUGGUGCGACGCCGCGUGGGGGAAUGAAGGUCUUCGGAUUGUAAACCCCUGUCAGGUGGGCGCAAAUUAAAAAGAUAGUACCACAAUAGGAAGAGACGGCUAACUCUGUGCCAGCAGCCGCGGUAAUACAGAGGUCUCAAGCGUUGUUCGGAAUCACUGGUCGUAAAGGGUGCGUAGGCUGUUCCGCAAGUCGUAUGUGAAAGGGGCGGGCUCAACCCGCAGACGGCACAUGAUAGUGCGAGACUAGAGUAAUGGAGAGGGAAUCGGAAUUCUCGGUGUAGCAGUGAAAUGCGUAGAUAUCGAGAGGAACACUCGUGGCGAAGGCGGGUUCCUGGACAUUAACUGACGCUGAGGCGCGAAGGCCAGGGGAGCGAAAGGGAUUAGAUACCCGGGUAGUC